UUAUUACUAAAAGAUCAUGCAAGAAGGCAGUGGAGAAUGAAGUAGCAGCCGAGAAGACCAAAAGACAGGCAGUGGAGGAUGAAGUAGCAUCUGAGAAGACCAAAAGACAGGCAGUGGAGGAUGAAGUAGCAGCUGGGAAGGUCAGGAUGCAGGCAAUGGAGAGUGCUUUGUUA